UACAGAGGUCUCAAGCGUUGUUCGGAUUCAUUGGGCGUAAAGGGUGCGUAGGCGGCGCGGUAAGUCGGGUGUGAAAUUUCGAGGCUUAACUUCGAAACUGCAUUCGAUACUGCCGUGCUUGAGGACUGGAGAGGAGACUGGAAUUUACGGUGUAGCGGUGAAAUGCGUAGAUAUCGGGAAGAACAUCAGUGGCGAAGGCGGCCUGCUGGGCUGUUGCUGACGCUGAGGCGCGACAGCGUGGGGAGCAAACAGG
rnacentral:rRNA from 1 species